rnacentral:rRNA from 1 species
CCAGACAGCCAGGAUGUUGGCUUAGAAGCAGCCAUCAUUUAAAGAAAGCGUAAUAGCUCACUGGUCGAGUCGGCCUGCGCGGAAGAUGUAACGGGGCUAAACCAUGCACCGAAGCUGCGGCAGCGACACUAUGUGUUGUUGGGUAGGGGAGCGUUCUGUAAGCCUGUGAAGGUGUGCUGUGAGGCAUGCUGGAGGUAUCAGAAGUGCGAAUGCUGACAUAAGUAACGAUAAAGCGGGUGAAAAGCCCGCUCGCCGGAAGAC